UACGUAGGGGGCAAGCGUUGUUCGGAAUUACUGGGCGUAAAGAGCGUGUAGGCGGCCAAACAGGUCCGUUGUGAAAACUGGAGGCUCAACCUCCAGACGUCGACGGAAACCGUAUGGCUAGAGUCCGGAAGAGGAGAGUGGAAUUCCUGGUGUAGCGGUGAAAUGCGCAGAUAUCAGGAAGAACACCUAUGGCGAAGGCAGCUCUCUGGGACGGUACUGACGCUGAGACGCGAAAGCGUGGGGAGCGAACAGG
rnacentral:rRNA from 1 species